AGAAAAUUUAGGUAGUCUUAUAGAAGAGAGAAGAAUUAAUCCCACAGCAGUUCCAAGAUAUAGAAUCAUCCGUGCAUUUAGCCUGACAUCUUUGGGAAAGGAGAGAAGAAAAAUUACUUUAGAAGCUAUAACAUCAUUAAUACGGCAAAACGAUCCAGUUUUCCGGGAUUUGUACAUGAUGUGUCGUUUAGCAGGUUUAUUUAGAACUAUUAAAUAUCCGCAUGCAUAUAUAGCCUCCGUUGGUAUUGACGAAGAGUAUUGCUAUUUAUUGGAUGUAUUCAAAAAGGAAGGUUUCAUAUAUAAAUUCAAUGAAGAGGAUGGUGCAUUUUGGGAAUUAACUCCACGUAUUCGCGUGCGUACUCUAGUUAGGCCUUUUUUAACUG